rnacentral:rRNA from 1 species
AGUCGAGCGGUAACACAAGGGAGCUUGCUCCUGAGGUGACGAGCGGCGGACGGGUGAGUAAUGCCUAGGUAUCUGCCCAGUCGAGGGGGAUAACAGUUGGAAACGACUGCUAAUACCGCAUACGCCCUACGGGGGAAAGGAGGGGACCUUCGGGCCUUCCGCGAUUGGAUGAACCUAGGUGGGAUUAGCUAGUUGGUGAGGUAAUGGCUCACCAAGGCGACGAUCCCUAGCUGGUCUGAGAGGAUGAUCAGCCACACUGGAACUGAGACACGGUCCAGACUCCUACGGGAGGCAGCAGUGGGGAAUAUUGCACAAUGGGCGAAAGCCUGAUGCAGCCAUGCCGCGUGUGUGAAGAAGGCCUUCGGGUUGUAAAGCACUUUCAGCGAGGAGGAAAGGUUANNUCUUAAUANNNNNUAGCUGUGACGUUACUCGCAGAAGAAGCACCGGCUAACUUCGUGCCAGCAGCCGCGGUAAUACGAGGGGUGCAAGCGUUAAUCGGAAUUACUGGGCGUAAAGCGUACGCAGGCGGUUUGUUAAGCGAGAUGUGAAAGCCCCGGGCUCAACCUGGGAACUGCAUUUCGAACUGGCAAACUAGAGUCUUGUAGAGGGGGGUAGAAUUUCNNUGUAGCGGUGAAAUGCGUAGAGAUCUGNANNNNNACCGGUGGCGNANNNGGCCCCCUGGACAAAGACUGACGCUCNNNACGAAAGCGUGGGGAGCAACAGGAUUA